rnacentral:rRNA from 1 species
ACAGCAGUCGCCACGGUAAAACGGAGGGUGCAAGCGUUAAUCGGAAUUACUGGGCGUAAAGCGCACGCAGGCGGUCUGACAAGUCAGAUGUGAAAUCCCCGGGCUUAACCUGGGAACUGCAUUUGAAACUGUCAGGCUGGAGUCUUGUAGAGGGGGGUAGAAUUCCAGGUGUAGCGGUGAAAUGCGUAGAGAUCUGGAGGAAUACCGGUGGCGAAGGCGGCCCCCUGGACAAAGACUGACGCUCAGGUGCGAAAGCGUGGGGAGCAAACAGGAUUAGAGACCCGCGUAGUCCCUGUCUCUUAUAC